rnacentral:rRNA from 1 species
GGAUAUGGCUCAGAUUGAACGCUGGCGGCAGGCCUAACACAUGCAAGUCGAACGGUAGCACAGAGAGCUUGCUCUCGGGUGACGAGUGGCGGACGGGUGAGUAAUGUCUGGGAAACUGCCUGAUGGAGGGGGAUAACUACUGGAAACGGUAGCUAAUACCGCAUAACGUCGCAAGACCAAAGAGGGGGACCUUCGGGCCUCUUGCCAUCAGAUGUGCCCAGAUGGGAUUAGCUAGUAGGUGGGGUAACGGCUCACCUAGGCGACGAUCCCUAGCUGGUCUGAGAGGAUGACCAGCCACACUGGAACUGAGACACGGUCCAGACUCCUACGGGAGGCAGCAGUGGGGAAUAUUGCACAAUGGGCGCAAGCCUGAUGCAGCCAUGCCGCGUGUAUGAAGAAGGCCUUCGGGUUGUAAAGUACUUUCAGCGAGGAGGAAGGCGGUGAGGUUAAUAACCUCAUCGAUUGACGUUACUCGCAGAAGAAGCACCGGCUAACUCCGUGCCAGCAGCCGCGGUAAUACGGAGGGUGCAAGCGUUAAUCGGAAUUACUGGGCGUAAAGCGCACGCAGGCGGUCUGUCAAGUCGGAUGUGAAAUCCCCGGGCUCAACCUGGGAACUGCAUUCGAAACUGGCAGGCUAGAGUACUUAUUGG